UUGCACAGUGAACACCCAAGUGUGCUUUAUAGUUCCCUUGGCUUUGAUUCUGUGCUAGAGUAAUGUCUGCUCUUUUCCUCUGCAUUGAAAGGAUUAUUUAUCCUUUUAAAUGUAUUCAAAAAAUCAGCACAUUA
rnacentral:snoRNA from 1 species